rnacentral:lncRNA from 10 species
CCCCUCUUUUCUAAGUUGGUGAGCAGGCGUACAUGAGAACUAGGCCUAGGAUUAUUCUAGAGUAGUCACAAGAAAUGUGACCCAAAAGCAUCUGCUACACUCUCCAAACCUGAUGCCUUUUCUGUAUUUCCUACUUAGCGAAUGCAACAUCUGGCAGCCUUUCUUCCUAUUCCUCUCUUCUAUACAAUACUUACAUUGUUCCCCAUCAUUU